UGGGAUGACGUCAAAUCAUCAUGCCCCUUAUGUUCUGGGCUACACACGUGCUACAAUGGCCGGUACAGACGGACGCAAAGCCGCGAGGUGGAGCAAAUCCUAAAAAAGCCGGUCUCAGUUCGGAUUGCAGGCUGCAAUUCGCCUGCAUGAAGUCGGAAUCGCUAGUAAUCGCAGGUCAGCAUACUGCGGUGAAUACGUUCCCGGGCCUU
rnacentral:rRNA from 1 species